GGGGGCGUAAAGGUUUCGACGGGGGUUUGGAACUUGGGGCUGCGUGUCGUGUUACUCUGGGUCACGUAAAAACCGGGGAACUUUUAAAACAAACGCAGACGAUAAUUUCGCGUUAGCAGCCUAGUUGCUGCUCGUCCCUCUUAACCCUCCUGCCGGUUAAGACUGGACGCCAUUAUGCAGGGUCCUGCUUUUUGGGUGUCUCGACCUAAAGUAGAAUAAUUGGGGCUGGUUUCAUAUAUAGAUUGCCACUUAUUUCUAUAUGAAAUGAGAUUAAAUUAAGUCGGCUACACACGUAGAUGCAACGAGGAAAAGACUUUCGGACAGGGGUUCGACUCCCCUCGUCUCCACCA
rnacentral:tmRNA from 1 species